rnacentral:rRNA from 1 species
UACGUAGGGUGCAAGCGUUGUCCGGAAUUAUUGGGCGUAAAGAGCUCGUAGGCGGUCUGUCGCGUCGGCUGUGAAAACUCGGGGCCCAACUCCGAGCUUGCAGUCGAUACGGGCAGGCUAGAGUUCGGCAGGGGAGACUGGAAUUCCUGGUGUAGCGGUGAAAUGCGCAGAUAUCAGGAGGAACACCGGUGGCGAAGGCGGGUCUCUGGGCCGAUACUGACGCUGAGGAGCGAAAGCGUGGGGAGCGAACAGG